AAUAUGAUAAAGAUAAAUUAGAUUUUUCCUCUUGAUAUUCAGCUUUUUCCUCUUGAAAAAAAUUCAAAUCCAACUAAAAAUGUUAAAUAUCUGGAGAAAAAAAUAUGAUUUAUCAUUCUUCUAUU
rnacentral:pre_miRNA from 1 species